rnacentral:sRNA from 1 species
UUGGUGAAGAUUUUUUCCCAAUGAAAAUUGACUUAUUAUUUGUGUGUAAAUGAUUUUGGUUUCUUGAAUAUACCCAGUGUUCCCUGUAACAUGAGUUUUGUAUUUUGCAGGUGAACUAAGUGUGAAAAAUCAGAAUGAAUUUGUUGAUAGCAAGAAUGGAAAAGUAAGACAGGAUCUGUAUGCUUCUGCAAAUGAGAGACCUGGAAUUCAGAAAAGUAGCAUGAAAAGUCUGUCUCAAAUCUUAAAUCCAAAUAGCAAGAACAAACAUGAUGCCAACGUUGAUGCCCAGAGAGAUUACCAUAUUAAACCAGGAUGAAGAUCGCAUGAAAGACAUGUAGUAUCAAGUGUCUGUGGCCUAUGGGAUUAUACUCAUUUUGGUGAUUCAGGUUCCAGUUUGAUCAGUCCUCAAUCAAACCUGAGCAUUCUUAAAAGAGAAGAAUCCAUGCUGGAUAACUUUGAAUUAAAGAGAAUUCAGACAGAAGUGAAAGCUGCUAGAAGAGUCUCUCUGGAGGCAAUGUCACUGAACAAUCUCAUUUACUGAGGGAAAGAAGGCUACUCUGAUUUUUAUUGUGGUCUGCCCCCUAUGUCUCCAUGGCUUCCAGGACAUAUAAUGUACCUUCUUCAUUUUAUAAAGUGAUGAUAUCAUCAUAGUCAUCAGUCUCUCAGAUGGGAAUGGUUUGUUAAUUUGGAUACAC